GUUUGCAAAUUUAAUACGAGGUUUGAAUUUGAUAUUAAAAAUUAACCGUAUAAUGUAGUAAUUUUUUAUUAAAAUUUUGAUGAAAUCGCGUUUUUUUUUAUAGGUCGUAUUGUUUGUGUAAUACAAUAAUAUUGUCACUGCGCUUUGGUUUUGUAGCGAAAAUGUCAUUUAACACAACGUCAUUACAUGAACAAAAUAAUAAAGAAGACUUGGAACGGCGCGUGUAUUAGGACUUGGUGCCAGGUGUCUAGUUUAUUUACACAUCGUUGGAUAGAUACGCGAGAUAAAAAAAAUGAUAAUAUUGCUCAAUAAUACAGCAAAAUAUUGGU